rnacentral:misc_RNA from 1 species
UCGUAACAAGGUUUCCGUAGGUGAACCUGCGGAAGGAUCAUUACUGAUUUGCUUAAUUGCACCACAUGUGUUUUUUAUUGAACAAAUUUCUUUGGUGGCGGGAGCAAUCCUACCGCCAGAGGUUAUAACUAAACCAAACUUUUUAUUUACAGUCAAACUUGAUUUAUUAUUACAAUAGUCAAAACUUUCAACAACGGAUCUCUUGGUUCUCGCAUCGAUGAAGAACGCAGCGAAAUGCGAUACGUAAUAUGAAUUGCAGAUAUUCGUGAAUCAUCGAAUCUUUGAACGCACAUUGCGCCCUUUGGUAUUCCAAAGGGCAUGCCUGUUUGAGCGUCAUUUCUCCCUCAAACCCCCGGGUUUGGUGUUGAGCAAUACGCUAGGUUUGUUUGAAAGAAUUUACGUGGAAACUUAUUUUAAGCGACUUAGGUUUAUCCAAAACGCUUAUUUUGCUAGUGGCCACCACAAUUUAUUUCAUAACUUUGACCUCAAAUCAGGUAGGACUACCCGCUGAACUUAAGCAUAUCAA